AUUGAACGCUGGCGGCAGGCCUAACACAUGCAAGUCGAACGAGUGGCGGACUGGUGAGUGAUGUCUGGGAAACUGCCUGAUGGAGGGGGCUAACUGCUGGAAACGUUGGCUAAUACCGCAUAACAUGCGAUGUGCCCACGUUGGAUUAGCUUGUUGGUGGGGUAACGGCUCACCAAGGCGACGAUCCCUAGCUGGUCUGAGAGGAUGACCAGCCACACUGGGACUGAGACACGGCCCAGACUCCUACGGGAGGCAGCAGUAGGGAAUAUUGCGCAAUGGGCGAAAGCCUGAUGCAGCCAUGCCGCGUGAAUGAAGAAGGCCUUCGGGUUGUAAAGCACUUUUAUCAGGGAGGCGUUACCCGCAGAAGAAGCACCGGCUAACUCCGUGCCAGCAGCCGCGGUAAUAC
rnacentral:rRNA from 1 species